AUCAACUUUCGAUGGUAGGAUAGAGGCCUACCAUGGUGGUAACGGGUAACGGGGUGUUAGGGCACGACACCGGAGAGGGAGCCUGAGAAACGGCUACCACAUCCAAGGAUGGCAGCAGGCGCGCAAAUUACCCAAUCCCGACACGGGGAGGUAGUGACAAUAAAUAACAAUACGGGGUUCUUUAGGAUCUCGUAAUUGGAAUGAGUACAAUUUAAAUCUCUUAACGAGGAACAAUUGAAGGGCAAGUCUGGUGCCAGCAGCCGCGGUAAUUCCAGCUCCAAUAGCGUAUAUUAAAGUUGUUGCAGUUAAAAAGCUCGUAGUUGAAUUUCGGGGUUAGUAGGUUGGUCAUGCCUCUGGUAUGUACUGGUCUCACUGAUUCCUCCUUCCUGAUGAACCUUAAUGCCAUUUAUUUGGUGUUUUGGGGAAUUUGGACUGUUACUUUGAAAAAAUUAGAGUGUUUAAAGCAAGCUAACGCUUGAAUACAUUAGCAUGGAAUAAUGAAAUAGGACGUUCGAUCCUAUUUUGUUGGUUUCUAGGAUUGACGUAAUGAUUAAUAGGGAUAGUUGGGGGCAUUAGUAUUCAAUUGUCAGAGGUGAAAUUCUUGGAUUUAUUGAAGACUAACUACUGCGAAAGCAUUUGCCAAGGAUGUUUUCAUUAAUCAAGAACGAAAGUUAGGGGAUCGAAGACGAUCAGAUACCGUCGUAGUCUUAACCAUAAACUAUGCCGACUAGGGAUCGGAUGAUGUUAAUUUUUUAAUGACUCAUUCGGCGCCUUACGGGAAACCAAAGUGUUUGGGUUC
rnacentral:rRNA from 1 species